CGAACGGGUGAGUAACGCGUGAGUAACCUGCCCUGGAGUGGGGGACGAACAGUUGGAAACGACUGCUAAUACCGCAUAAGCCCACGGAUCCGCAUGGAUCUGCGGGAAAAGGAUUUAUUCGCUUCAGGAUGGACUCGCGUCCAAUUAGCUAGUUGGUGAGGUAACGGCCCACCAAGGCGACGAUUGGUAGCCGGCUGAGAGGUGAACGGCCACAUUGGGACUGAGACACGGCCCAGACUCCUACGGGAGGCAGCAUG
rnacentral:rRNA from 1 species